rnacentral:rRNA from 1 species
CAUGCAAGUCGAACGGAAAGGCCCUUUCGGGGGUACACGAGUGGCGAACGGGUGAGUAACACGUGGGUGAUCUGCCCUGCACUUUGGGAUAAGCCUGGGAAACUGGGUCUAAUACCGAAUAUGAUCAUCGGCUUCAUGGUCGGUGGUGGAAAGCUUUUGCGGUGUGGGAUGGGCCCGCGGCCUAUCAGCUUGUUGGUGGGGUAAUGGCCUACCAAGGCGACGACGGGUAGCCGGCCUGAGAGGGUGACCGGCCACACUGGGACUGAGAUACGGCCCAGACUCCUACGGGAGGCAGCAGUGGGGAAUAUUGCACAAUGGGCGCAAGCCUGAUGCAGCGACGCCGCGUGAGGGAUGACGGCCUUCGGGUUGUAAACCUCUUUCAGCACAGACGAAGCGCAAGUGACGGUAUGUGCAGAAGAAGGACCGGCCAACUACGUGCCAGCAGCCGCGGUAAUACGUAGGGUCCGAGCGUUGUCCGGAAUUACUGGGCGUAAAGAGCUCGUAGGUGGUUUGUCGCGUUGUUCGUGAAAACUCACA